rnacentral:rRNA from 1 species
AGUUUGAUCAUGGCUCAGAUUGAACGCUGGCGGGAUGCUUUACACAUGCAAGUCGAACGGCAGCACGGACUUCGGUCUGGUGGCGAGUGGCAGACGGGUGAGUAAUGUAUCGGAACGUGCCUAGUAGCGGGGGAUAACUACGCGAAAGCGUAGCUAAUACCGCAUACGCCCUUCGGGGAAAGCGGGGGGACCUUCGGGCCUCGCACUAUUAGAGCAGCCGAUAUCGGAUUAGCUAGUUGGUGGGGUAACGGCUCACCAAGGCGACGAUCCGUAGCUGGUUUGAGAGGACGACCAGCCACACUGGGACUGAGACACGGCCCAGACUCCUGCGGGAGGCAGCAGUGGGGAAUUUUGGACAAUGGAAACCCUGAUCCAGCCAUCCCGCGUGUGCGAUGAAGGCCUUCGGGUUGUAAAGCACUUUUGGCAGGAAAGAAACGGCACGGGAUAAUACCCGUGCAACUGACGGUACCUGCAGAAUAAGCACCGGUAACUACGUGCCAGCAGCCGCGGUAAUACGUAAGUGCAAGCGUUAAUCGGAAUUACUGGGCGUAAAGCGUGCGCAGGCGGUUCGGAAAGAAGAUGUGAAAUCCCAGAGCUUAACUUUGAACUGCAUUUUUAACUACCGAGCUAGAGUGUGUCAGAGGGAGGUGGAAUUCGCGUGUAGCAGUGAAAUGCGUAGAUAUGCGGAGGAACACCGAUGGCGAAGGCAGCCUCCUGGGAUAACACUGACGCUCAUGCACGAAAAGCGUGGGGGAGCAAACAGGAUUAGAUACCCUGGUAGUCCACGCCCUACUUGUCGCUAGCUGUUGGGGCCUUCGGGCCUUGGUAGCGCAACUAACGCGUGAAGUUGACCGCCUGGGAGGCUGAUCGCAAGAUUAAAACUCAAAGGAAUUGACGGGGACCCGCACAAGCGGUGGAUGAUGUGGAUUAAUUCGAUGCAACGCGAAAAACCUUACCUACCCUUGACAUGUCUGGAAUCCCGAAGAGAUUUGGGAGUGCUCGCAAAAGAGAACCGGAACACAGGUGCUGCAUGGCUGUCGUCAGCUCGUGUCGUGAGAUGUUGGGUUAAGUCCCGCAACGAGCGCAACCCUUGUCAUUAGUUGCUACGAAAGGGCACUCUAAUGAGACUGCCGGUGACAAACCGGAGGAAGGUGGGGAUGACGUCAGAGUCCUCAUGGCCCUUAUGGGUAGGGCUUCACACGUCAUACAAUGGUCGGGACAGAGAUUCGCCAGCCCGCGAGGGGGAGCCAAUCCCAGAAACCCGAUCGUAGUCCGGAUCGCAAGUCUGCAACUCGACUGCGUGAAGUCGGAAUCGCUAGUAAUCGCGGAUCAGCAUGUCGCGGUGAACCGUUCCCGGGUCUUGUACACACCGCCCGUCACACCAUGGGAGUGGGUUUUACCAGAAGUAGUUAGCCUAACCGUAAGGAGGGCGAUUGCCACGGUAGGAUUCAUGACUGGGGUGAAGUCGUAACAAGGUAG